rnacentral:tRNA from 1 species
GUCGGUGGUAGAAUGGUUUAAACCGUUGGUUUUCAACCGCUAAGACCCGGGUUCGAUUCCCGCAUUAGGCA